rnacentral:lncRNA from 1 species
UUUAGGAUGCCUCUUCUCCCUUCGUACGACUUCAUCAUCGAUUGGUGAAAGAACCCACCCUCUCCUCUCGCAAUGGCUGCCACUGUCUCCCACCGUCGCGAGAUAAUCCUCUAUGGCAGCAUCACCUUUUCUUCUUAACGAAGCCCACCCUUUUCAUAAUCUGUCACGCAAUGAACUUGUUCUCACCGUCAAUAAAACUUAGUCAUGGGGGUUCAAGUCAGUGGAAAAUGCAACCAUCCCCUUAGGCCAGACCGUGGUGCAGAAACUCGUCCCCUUUAUUCUAGAUCCAUCACAACCAUCGCUUUAGCCUCAAUCUUCUUGCAUCCAUCGCAAAGCCCUGAUCUUCUCGCAUUCAAAGGUG